GUGAAUCAUCGAGUCUUUGAAUGCACCUUGCGCUCCUUGGUAUUCUGAGGAGCAUGCCUGUUUGAGUGUCAUGAAAUUCUCAACUGCUUCAACUUUUGUUGGUUGAAGUGAAGUUGGACUUGGAGGAAUCAUUGCUGGCGUGACCUUUUAGGUUGCUUGUUAGCUCCUCUUAAAUGGAUGAACUUUUCCAUUUACAAAGUAACAUCAAUGUGAUAAUUAUCUACGUUGGAUGAGUUUGUACAAGGAAAGGUAUAUCUUGGAUGUUCAAAUCCUUGAUGAAACAAAUGACAAAUUUGACCUCAAAUCAGGUAGGACUACCCGCUGAACUUAAGCAUAUCAAUAAGCGGAGG
rnacentral:rRNA from 1 species